UGACGGCCUACCCCGGCCAAACCCUAGCCCGGACGAUGCUGGGCCAAUUGUGCGCCGCCCUAUGGGACUCCCAAUCACAACCGGUUGUGAUACAGCCUGGAAUCGAACCAGGGUCUGUAGUGACGCCUCUUGCAUUGAGAUGCAGUGCCUUAGACCGCUGUGCCACUCGGGAGAAAGAAAAAAAUGUAUUCUGCUCUCCCUUUGUCCUCCUUUCUCUCUCCAUUCUCCCUUUCUCUCUCCAUUCUCCCUUUCUCUCUCCAUUCUCCCUUUCUCUCUCCAUUCUCCCUUUCUCUCUCCAUUCUCUCCAUUCUCCCUUUCUCUCCAUUCUCCCUUUCUCUCUCCAUUCUCCCUUUCUCUCUCUUCUCCCUCCUACAGAUGGGAGGUCAAGUGUUUUAUUUCUUCAACAAGGUUAUCCCUCCACUAACGCCUACACUACACAAUACCAGAAUUCACCCUUCAUGACUCUCUUCUGUAAAGGACUAAGUGGAGAGACAGUUAGGACCUUUUGCAGCCGUUCCAUUGAGGUGAGGAGUCCAAAGACUAUUGUUGUAACUAUGGAUGGAAGGUUUCUGGUACAAGGUUACUCUUUCUUCUGGCCUCUUCUAUGUGUGUGUAUCUGGGGGAGGGGUGUACGUGGAUGUCUUUGCAUGUGUGUGUUUGUGAGAGUGUUAGUGAGAGUGUGUGUUUGUGUGUGUUUAUGUUUGUAAGUGCGUGUUUGUGCGUGUGUAAAUGUGUGUGUGCCGGAUCUCUGCUCCCCCUUGUCCCUGGUAGCCAGGUGGAGGAAUGGCCAAGGUGAGUCACAUACAAAAGAAAUUGCCAGAGUGAACGUUCAAAUCCAAUUUACAGUGAAUGUUCAGUUUGAGAGCAGGAUAUUUCCACACCCUUCCACUGACGCACACACAGAACUCUAUGAAUGCACAAACACAUGCCCACACAAACAGAUAGGCUCAUCUAAAGGCCUCACACAAACAGAUAGGUUCAUCUAAAGGCCUCACACAAACAGAUAGGCUCAUCCAAAGGCCUCACAACAAACAGAUAGGCUCAUCCAAAGGCCUCACACAAACAGAUAGGCUCAUCCAAAGGCCCCACAACAAACAGAUAGGCUCAUCCAAAGGCCCCACAACAAACAGAUAGGCUCAUCCAAAGGCCUCACAACAAACAGAUAGGCUCAUCCAAAAGGCCUCACACAAACAGAUAGGCUCAUCCAAAGGCCCCACA
ensembl:lncRNA